GAGUUCUUUAGUAACAUUCACCAUAACCAGUUCAUGGAAAUGAACAUUAUCUAUCUAUAGUGACCCUUUUAACAGUGAAAUAAACACAUGGGUCUCUCUCUCUCGGUCUCUCUCGCUCAGCGGGUUGAUCCUGCAGGACCUGACCUUUGUACAUCUGGGCAAUCCAGACCUGAUUGAUGGGAAAGUAAACUUCUCCAAGCGCUGGCAACAGUUCAACAUCCUGGACAGCAUGAGGCGCUUCCAACAAGUACACUACGAGCUGAAGAGGAACGAUGACAUUGUGGCGUUCUUCAACGACUUCAGCGACCACCUGGCCGAGGAGGCAUUGUGGGAGCUUUCACUGAAGAUCAAGCCACGCAACAUCACACGGCGCCGGACUGAGCGCGACGAGAAAACCUAGAGCGAGCAAAACGCCUCUAGAAACUUUUCCAGACAGCACAGAGGGAGUGAUGGGAAACCUGGAGUUUUCAGUGAUGGGAGAAAAAAACACAUGCAAGAUUUUAAUGAACAGAGUGGAGCAAAGGCAAUAUUUCCCCAAGAGAUGAGUAAUAUACUAAUAUAUGCAUACAUACACACACACACACACACACACACACACACACUGGAAGACUUCUUGUAUAUUUGUGUGCGAAUGUGUGUGUGUGUGAGAGAGAGAGAGACACACACAGAGAGAAAUAUAGAAGCGCUUGCUUGUUCUCAAUCACUGUGUCUACAUCAGUGAUGAACACUAAAGAGGCUCAUCAGAAGGUUGGGGUUACCCAUAAUGCCCCACUGCUGGGACUUCCUGUUCAGUAUAAAGCAGGGUCGAAUGGAAAAGAAAACAUGCAAAGUGUGUGUGUAUGUGUGGCCCUCCCUUAUUUGCCAUGUUUGUGGAGUAGUUACUCCAGCUCCAUCACAAACACACUCCGGACUCGUGUUGCCAGGCAACAGACUUACAGUGACAUUUGAGUGUUUUUGUUUUUUUUAACUCUCCUUUUUUUGCCAUCAUCUGUGUGUGAUAUAUUGUAUAUUAUAAUAAGCGUAUAAUGAUGUACAGGUGCGUAUUCUCCUCAUAUAUAUAUAAAUAAGAGAUCUGUUUCUUUUAAUUUUAAAGUAAAUUUAUGCACUAAAAAAGAAACAAAAAGCAAAAACACAAGGACUGAACAUGCUGUGAUCUCUGUAUAUGUGUCGGUAUGGGUGUGCGCUUGCAAGAAUGUUUGCAACUUGCAAGUGAUGUUAAGAGAAUAGUUCUUUGGGGGUGUGUGUGCGUGUGUGUCUGUGUGUUCAUGUGAACACACACAUGCAGGCAUGUCUGACUGUGUCACUUCUGUUUACUGACUCCUGGGAAUUACUUUUGUUAUGCUCACCACAUAUUGUGCUUUUCUCCCUGAAUAAAACUACACUUUCUAUA